UACGAAGGGGGCUAGCGUUGUUCGGAAUUACUGGGCGUAAAGGGCGCGUAGGCGGUGUGUCAAGUCAGGCGUGAAAGCCCCGGGCUCAACCUGGGAACAGCGCUUGAGACUGGCACGCUCGAGUUCGGGAGAGGAUGGUGGAAUUCCCAGUGUAGAGGUGAAAUGCGUAGAUAUCUGGAGGAACACCGGUGGCGAAGGCGGCAUCCUGGACCGACACUGACGCUGAGGAGCGAAAGCCAGGGGAGCAAACCGG
rnacentral:rRNA from 1 species